GGGAUAACGCUGGCGGCGUGCUUACACAUGCAGUCGAACGAACUUCGGGUUAGUGGCGGACGGGUGAGUAACGCGUGAGAAUCUGCCCUCAGGAGGGGGACAACAGUUGGAAACGACUGCUAAUACCCCCAUAUGCCGCGAGGUGAAAUGAAUUUCGCCUGAGGAUGAGCUCGCGUCUGAUUAGCUAGUUGGUGUAGGUAAUGGCUCACCAAGGCAUCGAUCAGUAGCUGGUCUGAGAGGAUGAUCAGCCACACUGGGACUGAGACACGGCCCAGACUCCUACGGGAGGCAGCAGUGGGGAAUUUUCCGCAAUGGGCGAAAGCCUGACGGAGCAACGCCGCGUGAGGGAUGAAGGCCUCUGGGCUGUAAACCUCUUUUAUCAAGGAAGAAGAUCUGACGGUACUUGAUGAAUAAGCCACGGCUAAUUCCGUGCCAGCAGCCGCGGUAAUACGGGAGUGGCAAGCGUUAUCCGGAAUUAUUGGGCGUAAAGCGUCCGCAGGCGGCCCUUCAAGUCUGCUGUUAAAAAGUGGAGCUUAACUCCAUCAUGGCAGUGGAAACUGUUUGGGCUUGAGUGUGGUACGGGCAGAGGGAAUUCCCGGUGUACGGUGAAAUGCGUAGAUAUCGGGAAGAACACCAGUGGCGAAGGCGCUCUGCUGGGCCAUCACUG
rnacentral:rRNA from 1 species